rnacentral:tRNA from 1 species
GAGGUUGUAGCUCAGUGGUAGAGCACUUGCCUAGCAUGCAUGAUGCACUGGGUUCAAUCCCCAGCACCACA